rnacentral:tRNA from 1 species
AUUUAAAUAGCUUAAAUUUAAAGCAUGACAUUGAAGCUGUUAAUAUGAUUUUUUAAUCUUUAAAUA